CCCCUCCCCACUCGUGCAUGGUCUCUGUAAAACAAAUAAAAUGAAAAAAAAAAUGCUUGAAGUAUCCAAAACUUGUUCCCUGUUUAAAGAUGAUUGUUUUUAUUAGGUUUCUUUGUCUCUGUGUACCACACUGGUCACUGAUUUCCUUUUCGGGACAGUUUUGCACCUUGGGAGAAUUCUUUCUGUUUUGAUGUUAUUACAUCACGUAGAAAGCAACUAGGAACUCACAGCUUCAGUGCUGGUGGCUGACCAGGCUCAUUCACCUGCUAACUACCUUGCAUCCACACCCCCGGGCCCCACAGCGGAUUUGAUCCAAAUGAGGUCUUCGGCAAAAUCACAGAGCCCGUCACCGGACCUUGAGCAACCAUCAGAGUCUGUGGUGCAAAUGUUAAAUCCACAGACAUCAUGGUUCCUCUCUGCCGGCAUCUAACUCAGAGUACCAGGGUCGGGCUUUAGGCUUUGCCUUCUUUCCCACCUCCCUUGCCUUAUUUUUACCUGCCCUUCACAGGUCACGUGUUCUUCCACCACCCGAACCAUCUCUCUCUCCCAAGCCAACACUUCAAGCUUUUGCAGCUUAAUUCCUGCCUGACCAGCGUUACCAGAACGUUUUUCUCUUUGAAGCUCGUGCCAUCUUGCGUUCUGUGUCCUACUCAAUCCUGCUCAUCGCUGUGACGUGAUGACCUCGGGGCUAUGCCUCAUUCUACGAGGUCCCCUGUUGUAGGGUCUCAUGCCCCGCCCCCGCGCCUCACCGCUCCUGGGUGACUGCAGCGUCCGUGCAGAGGGGUCAGUCCGCAGCUUAGUGUCCAUUUCGUCACUUCGUCUCUAGGCACCUUCUCUUCCCCGCCCCCCCCCCCCUCAGGUACUCACUUCCCCGGCUGCUCAUUGGACACAGUCGCAUGGCACCUGCUCCCCUUCUGUCACAUGAUGAGCUGCUCGCUCUCCACACGUGAUGCUGUGAUGCCGUCGCCUUUCCUUCCACCCGUCCCUUCUUGGUCCUUCAACCGUGCAGAUCCCUGGCCCUGGCUUCCCAACCCACGUGACCUGCCACCGUGCAGACAGAGCGCUCUUUAGAUUAAGCUCACUGCGGAUUUGUGGUCUGCUUCGAAGGGGCUCUCGGUAGUACUUGGCGAUGCCCUCUCAUCCUGGCCAUCUUGCCCUUUGUCCCCACCUUCGCUAGACCCCUUGUCUCCUGUCCAGUAGAAGACAGGGGAGAACGUGCCACGCCCAGGAAACCACCUCUCCUCCCCUGCCCUUCUCCAACCCGUGAAGUGACUUACCUCCACACUCGCUCGUCCUCUACCCUUCUCUUGCAGUCGUGGAAGAAGGGAGGUCUCUCUUCCUGUCUGCGACCAAGCCCUCCCUCCCACCUUGGACUCACCCCUCGAGUCUUCAGACUCGCGCCACCGAUCACCCUGGAAGUUCCACUUUGUUCGCCCUAUACUCUGCAAUCCCCCCAGACGCCCAGGCUCCUUGUGAGGCUGUCAGUACUUUUCAUCCACCGCGUCCCGCCUCUAAAUCUUCAGCCGACUGACUUUGCCCCGUCUCAGGCGAGGAUGAAUUCACCUGGGGUGCUGGGGCCUCCUCCCUUGGGAGCACCGCUCCCCCCACAUCUCCACCGUGUCGGCUCACCGGUGUUGGUGUCCCACACCAGCUGGUUGCCGAAGCCAGAAACCAAGGAAUCCUCUCAGAUGGCCCCACUGUCCCAGCAUGCCACAUUUCUUCUGCCGGGAAGUGAAACGUGGAACCAGUCAUAUGGCCCGGGCCACCAGCCCUUGCCUCCUUUCUGACCUUUGGAAAUCUUAAAUGCCAAACCAUUGCUCAUGAGAGAAACUAGGAAGGCAAAGGCCAGCUUGUCUGCUCACUAUGACUUAAUUUUCUGGAAGAUUCAAGGUCAUCGUUGGCAAUCAAUUGCUGAAUAAGUGUGCUGUGCUCUUAGAGUCACUUCCUGGCUCAUUUCCUGGUCCGUGGUUGCCUUUGCUGUGAGCACUUGAUUGUCCUUGUACCUGAAGUUCACAGUCCUACUUAGUAUAUAUGCUUCUAACCUGCUCUGGUCUGAGAAGUUAGAGGUUCUUGAAAGGAAUGUAAAGACAAGUCAGCGAGUCCCCAAUGAGUGAGGUUUCUCCCAUAGAGUUAAUCCUUUGGCUCUCUGUUAGCUAUUUCACUUGGCAUGGAGGCCAUUUGUUCCUGAUCUGUACUUUGUCCGUGUUCCUGAAUUGCUGACUUUUAAAUAGGAACUGAUUUUUAUUUAAUGUGAUACCUUUCCUAUUAUCACAUUUAAAUUUCUUGUGAAAAAUUAAAAGUA